rnacentral:lncRNA from 1 species
AGAGCACUCCUAACCCCCCGGGGCAAGGAGGGGAGGCCAGGCAGCCGGAAGGAAACUCCUGAGCUUUUUACGGAAUGCACAAGACAAAAGAGUGCUGCUUGCUCUGCAGCUGGUCCAAGAAGCUUCACCUCCCAGGAGCACCAGACAGAUGAUCUCCUGUUUACAGUGGUUCCAGGAGCACCAACCCCAAGGAUGAGUUAUAAGCAGGUCUCUAAAGAGAUUUUAGGAGAAGCUGCUAAAAUGGUGGCAAAGCUCUUUAGAAACAUAGAAGUAUGAACCUUUUUAUGGGGAGAACUUAUAAGAGUUUGGAGAGGUCUUCCAGGUCCACACAACCUCCCUGGAAAUGGCAAGGAGUUAUAAUUUCCAUUUUACAGAUGAAAAAUGAAAAAGAGGAGAAGGGGAUGCCAUUUGCUCAAGGCUGCUGGAACGCUAGGCUGGCUCUGGGACUAUCACGAAAAGUUUCUAACCCCCCGCCACGGCUCUUCUCACAACACAAGAAUGAGCUCAGAGAGGUUAAUGAACCUGCCAAAGACCCCAGCUGAGAGACUGAGUUGGUUUGCAGAUUCCAAAGCCCACAUUCAUUCCAUUUUAUCUCAUCUUUAGUGGACUUUGAACAUGCCUCAGCCUUCACCUUGACCCUUGGUGAAGGUGCUGAGAACCAAGACCCAGUGCAGCGGUGUCUCUGGAACCUCCUGGAGCUCAGCAGCCGACUCCCAAACCUGGAGGUCCUCACUCUGCACCCUGUGCUCUGCCCUCUGGCUGAUCCUCAGCAUUCCCAGGCAGCCUGGCUCCCUGUAAAGUUGUUUAAACUUCUGUUUAUCAUCAUCUUCCAUCAUUUCUAAUUGUUUUCCUGUGUCCCUUUCUUUUGUAGAGGAUAUAAACUCAGCAUUUUAGCUUUUGAAAUAGAUUUGCUGUGCAGUUUCAUGGCUCUUUAGUGGCUUAAAAUGUAUUGUUCUGUGAGUCUUUCUGUGCCCGUCACAGCAUUCACUGUGGGAAGCAGCAGGACGCCAGCGAUGCUGAUGUUUAUUUGAUUUUAGGGGACUUUAAGGCAUUCCUGGGACCAUACGGAUUCUAAAUAUUCUGCCUCAUUGUCUUCAGAAGCUACUAAAAUAUCCUAGAAAUGAUCAUGUUUCAGCAUGUAAGCUACAUAUUUCACGUUACCUCUUGUAUCCAUCCAUACAUAGCCUCUAUCAAGAGCCUGGCAUAAGCCAAUGUAAUGGUUCUGAAAUGGUAACCACAUGGUUCUUCAAUCACUAAAACCCUUUCCACUCUGAGAUUGGACAUUCAUUGCUAUUUUCUGCCAGGGCUUUGAUUUACAAGACUGUCUAUGAGUUCUGUGUUUAAUAUACAGAACUGGCUGCCCUCAAUGCAUGAGACUUCCUGGUAUUUUUUUCAUGUGAUUAGAUGGAUUACAUUUGUUUCAUAUUUAUUGUUUAGAUAUACAAGUAAUCCUCACUUUGCACAGUGUCAUGUCUGCAUAUUGAAACCCUAUACUCACUUUGUGCAAUCCUUUGGUAAGUGCAAAGUGAGAACACAGGUCUGAUAUGUACAAGUUUCAGUGAACAUGGUACUAUGCAUCAUGAAGACUAUCUGAAGUUGCUUUCAAAUAAAAUUUGGAUAAGGACUGUAA